rnacentral:lncRNA from 1 species
UGUCACACCCCAAUAAUUCCACGUAUUACCGGUGGGCCCGGUGGGGAAUAUCGUGACGUAGUUGAUAUCAUCAUUGUCAACAUACACAAAUAUAUAGCACAGCGGAAGGCUGGGUAAAUAAACUAUUACAAACCAUACUGUCUGUCGAUGUUCGAAUACAAGAAUAAUACAAACUGGAAUGUAAUAAAAUCCACAGGCGGAUCAUAAAGUACAAAGAAACAAAAACUACAGACUCCGGGUAUCUAUGGGAUUUGCAAGAUCCUCUACAACACCCUAUAGCUCCAGCCUAUUUCGACAAGUACCUGUCAAUUCAAUCUUUAGGAAAAUACGUCAGUAUACACUGGUAAAUACAAUUUAACUGACUCGUUUUGAAAACAUUUGAGAAAAUUGGUUUAGAUGCACAAGGCACAAAUCCUUUAUAACUUGGGACAAUCUUAUCAAAAUCUUGUAUACAGUUUUACAUGCUUGUGAUCUUGUCAUACAUGUGGGGCCGGUUUAUAAGCCGGGCAUGAUUAAUCGACUCACCACUUAUAGAACCCACAGAGGAGUUAUCCCCAACUUGUGGGUAAAUUUAUAUUUAGCAUUUGCAUCUGUCG